AACUGAAACAUCUAAGUACCCCGAGGAAAAGAAAUCAACCGAGAUUCCGAAAGUAGCGGCGAGCGAAAUUGGACUAGCCCUUAAGCUUUACACGCGUUAGACGAACGGUCUGGAAAGUCCGACGAUACAGGGUGAUAGUCCCGUAGUUGACGACGUGUGUUCAGUGAAAUCGAGUAGGGCGGGACACGUGAUAUCCUGUCUGAAUAUGGGGGGACCAUCCUCCAAGGCUAAAUACUACUGACUGACCGAUAGUGAACCAGUACCGUGAGGGAAAGGCGAAAAGAACCCCUGUGAGGGGAGUGAAAUAGAACCUGAAACCGUGUACGUACAAGCAGUAGGAGCAGGCUUUGUCCUGUGACUGCGUACCUUUUGUAUAAUGGGUCAGCGACUUAUAUUCAGUGGCAAGGUUAACCAUCUAGGGGAGCCGUAGGGAAACCGAGUCUUAACUGGGCGUUCAGUCUCUGGAUAUAGACCCGAAACCAGGUGAUCUAGCCAUGGGCAGGUUGAAGGUUGAGUAACAUCAACUGGAGGACCGAACCGACUAAUGUUGAAAAAUUAGCGGAUGACUUGUGGCUAGGGGUGAAAGGCCAAUCAAACCUGGAGAUAGCUGGUUCUCCCCGAAAGCUAUUUAGGUAGCGCCUCGGACGAAUACUACUGGGGGUAGAGCACUGUUAAGGCUAGGGGGUCAUCCCGACUUACCAACCCUUUGCAAACUCCGAAUACCAGUAAGUACUAUCCGGGAGACACACGGCGGGUGCUAACGUCCGUCGUGGAGAGGGAAACAACCCAGACCGCCAGCUAAGGUCCCAAAUUACUACUAAGUGGGAAACGAUGUGGGAAGGCUCAGACAGCCAGGAUGUUGGCUUAGAAGCAGCCAUCAUUUAAAGAAAGCGUAAUAGCUCACUGGUCGAGUCGGCCUGCGCGGAAGAUGUAACGGGGCUAAGUAGUAAACCGAAGCUGCGGCAAUGUGCUUUUGCACAUUGGGUAGGGGAGCGUUCUGUAAGCGGUUGAAGGUGUGUGGUAACGCAUGCUGGACGUAUCAGAAGUGCGAAUGCUGACAUGAGUAACGAUAAAGGGGGUGAAAAACCUCCUCGCCGGAAGACCAAGGGUUCCUGUCCAACGUUAAUCGGGGCAGGGUAAGUCGACCCCUAAGGCGAGGCCGAAAGGCGUAGUCGAUGGGAAACGGGUUAAUAUUCCCGUACUUCUUACAAUUGCGAUGGGGGGACGGAGAAGGCUAGGUGGGCCUGGCGACGGUUGUCCAGGUUCAAGUGCGUAGGCUUAAGAGUUAGGUAAAUCCGGCUCUUUUUAAGGCUGAGACACGACGUCGAGCAUCUACGGAUGUGAAGUCAUUGAUGCCAUGCUUCCAGGAAAAGCCUCUAAGCUUCAGAUUGUAAGGAAUCGUACCCCAAACCGACACAGGUGGUCGGGUAGAGAAUACCAAGGCGCUUGAGAGAACUCGGGUGAAGGAACUAGGCAAAAUGGUACCGUAACUUCGGGAGAAGGUACGCUCUCGACGGUGAAGUCCCUCGCGGAUGGAGCUAUUGAGAGUCGCAGAUACCAGGUGGCUGCAACUGUUUAUUAAAAACACAGCACUGUGCAAAAUCGUAAGAUGACGUAUACGGUGUGACGCCUGCCCGGUGCCGGAAGGUUAAUUGAUGGGGUUAGACUUCGGUCGAAGCUCUUGAUCGAAGCCCCGGUAAACGGCGGCCGUAACUAUAACGGUCCUAAGGUAGCGAAAUUCCUUGUCGGGUAAGUUCCGACCUGCACGAAUGGCGUAAUGAUGGCCACGCUGUCUCCACCCGAGACUCAGUGAAAUUGAAAUCGCUGUGAAGAUGCAGUGUACCCGCGGCUAGACGGAAAGACCCCGUGAACCUUUACUACAGCUUGGCACUGAACAUUGACCCUACAUGUGUAGGAUAGGUGGGAGGCUUUGAAGCACGUACGCCAGUAUGUGUGGAGCCGUCCUUGAAAUACCACCCUUGUAGUGUUGAUGUUCUAACGUCGACCCCUUAUCGGGGUUGCGGACAGUGCCUGGUGGGUAGUUUGACUGGGGCGGUCUCCUCCCAAAGAGUAACGGAGGAGCACGAAGGUGGGCUAAUCACGGUUGGACAUCGUGAGGUUAGUGCAAUGGCAUAAGCCCGCUUGACUGCGAGAAUGACAAUUCGAGCAGGUGCGAAAGCAGGUCAUAGUGAUCCGGUGGUUCUGAAUGGAAGGGCCAUCGCUCAACGGAUAAAAGGUACUCCGGGGAUAACAGGCUGAUACCGCCCAAGAGUUCAUAUCGACGGCGGUGUUUGGCACCUCGAUGUCGGCUCAUCACAUCCUGGGGCUGAAGUCGGUCCCAAGGGUAUGGCUGUUCGCCAUUUAAAGUGGUACGCGAGCUGGGUUUAGAACGUCGUGAGACAGUUCGGUCCCUAUCUGCCGUGGGCGUUGGAAGAUUGAAGGGGGCUGCUCCUAGUACGAGAGGACCGGAGUGGACGAACCUCUGGUGUUCGGGUUGUGUCGCCAGACGCAUUGCCCGGUAGCUAAGUUCGGAAUCGAUAACCGCUGAAAGCAUCUAAGCGGGAAGCGAGCCCUGAGAUGAGUCUUCCCUGAUACUUUAAGUAUCCUAAAGGGUUGUCGGAGACUACGACGUUGAUAGGUCAGGUGUGUAAGUGCUGUGAGGCAUUGAGCUAACUGAUACUAAUUGCCCGUGAGGCUUAACCAUACAACACCCAAGGGGUUU
rnacentral:rRNA from 1 species